CCUACGGGUGGCUGCAGUAAGGAAUAUUGGUCAAUGGACGGAAGUCUGAACCAGCCAUGCCGCGUGGAGGAUGAAGGCGCUACGCGUUGUAAACUUCUUUUAUGUAGGAAGAAAGGCAGUCAUUCUUGAUUGUUUGACGGUACUAUAGGAAUAAGCACCGGCUAACUCCGUGCCAGCAGCCGCGGUAAUACGGAGGGUGCAAGCGUUAUCCGGAUUCACUGGGUUUAAAGGGUGCGUAGGCGGGCCAUGCGUAAGUCAGUGGUGAAAUCUGUGGG
rnacentral:rRNA from 1 species